CCCGAUGACCAUAGUGCUGUGGUUCUACCUGAUUCCAUUCCGAACUCAGAAGUAAAACGCAGUAACGUCGAUGGUAGUGUGGUGAUUCGCCAUGUGAGAGUAGAGCAUCAUCGGGU
rnacentral:rRNA from 1 species